rnacentral:rRNA from 1 species
CACCGCGGUUAUACGAGAGACCCAAGUCGAUGGUCGUCGGCGUAAAGAGUGGUUAAGAGAUAAGAAAACUAAAGCCAAACGACUUCAAAGCUGUUAUACGCACAUGAAAGCACUGAGGCCCUACCACGAAAGUGGCUUUAAUUACCUGAACCCACGAAAGCUAUGAUA